rnacentral:rRNA from 1 species
AAUAUUGGACAAUGGGGGCAACCCUGAUCCAGCCAUGCCGCGUGUGUGAAGAAGGUCUNCGGAUUNUNAAGCACUUUAAGUUGGGNGGAAGGGCUUUAGGUUAAUACCCUGAAGUUUUGACGUUACCAACAGAAUAAGCACCGGCAAACUCUGUGCCAGCAGCCGUGGUAAUACAGAGGGUGCAAGCGUUAAUCGUAAUUACUGGGCGUAAAGCGCGCGUCAGUUGUUCAGUAAGAUGGGUGUGAAAUCCCCGGGCUUAACCUGGGAACUGCUUUCAUAACUGCUGAGCUAGAGUACUGUAGAGGGUAGUUGAAUUUCCUGUGUAGCGGUGAAAUGCGUAGAUAUAGGAAGGAACACCAGUGGCGAAGGCGACUACCUGGACUGAUACUGACACUGAGGUGCGAGAGCGUGGGGAGCAAAC